UGGCCAGACUCCUACGGGAGGCAGCAGUGAGGAAUAUUGGUCAAUGGGCGGGAGCCUGAACCAGCCAAGUCGCGUGAGGGAAGACGGUCCUAUGGAUUGUAAACCUCUUUAGGCGGGGAGCAAUGCCGGGCACGCGUGCCCGGAGGGAGAGUACCCGCAGAAUAAGCAUCGGCUAACUACGUGCCAGCAGCCGCGGUAAUACGUAGGGGGCGAGCGUUAUCCGGAUUCACUGGGUGUAAAGGGAGCGUAGACGGCCAAGCAAGCCAGGGGUGAAAGCCCGGGGCCCAACCCCGGGACUGCCCUUGGAACUGCUUGGCUGGAGUGCGGGAGGGGCAGGCGGAAUUCCUGGUGUAGCGGUGAAAUGCGUAGAUAUCAGGAGGAACACCGGCGGCGAAGGCGGCCUGCUGGACCGCUACUGACGUUGAGGCUCGAAAGCGUGGGGAGCGAACAGGAUUAGAUACCCUUGUA
rnacentral:rRNA from 1 species